rnacentral:rRNA from 1 species
AAGAGGGAAACAACCCAGACCGCCAGCUAAGGUCCCAAAGUCAUGGUUAAGUGGGAAACGAUGUGGGAAGGCCCAGACAGCCAGGAUGUUGGCUUAGAAGCAGCCAUCAUUUAAAGAAAGCGUAAUAGCUCACUGGUCGAGUCGGCCUGCGCGGAAGAUGUAACGGGGCUAAACCAUGCACCGAAGCUGCGGCAGCGACGCUGAUGCGUUGUUGGGUAGGGGAGCGUUCUGUAAGCCUGCGAAGGUGACCUGUGAGGGUUGCUGGAGGUAUCAGAAGUGCGAAUGCUGACAUAAGUAACGAUAAAGCGGGUGAAAAGCCCGCUCGCCGGAAGACCAAGGGUUCCUGUCCAACGUUAAUCGGGGCAGGGUGAGUCGACCCCUAAGGCGAGGCCGAAAGGCGUAGUCGAUGGGAAACGGGUUAAUAUUCCCGUACUUGGUGUUACUGCGAAGGGGGGACGGAGAAGGCUAUGUUGGCCGGGCGACGGUUGUCCCGGUUUAAGCGUGUAGGUGUGUGUUCCAGGUAAAUCCGGUUCACUUUAACACUGAGGCGUGACGACGAGGCACUACGGUGCUGAAGCAACAAAUGCCCUGCUUCCAGGAAAAGCCUCUAAGCAUCAGGUAACAUCAAAUCGUACCCCAAACCGACACAGGUGGUCAGGUAGAGAAUACCAAGGCGCUUGAGAGAACUCGGGUGAAGGAACUAGGCAAAAUGGUGCCGUAACUUCGGGAGAAGGCACGCUGACACGUAGGUGAAGUGAUUUACUCAUGGAGCUGAAGUCAGUCGAAGAUACCAGCUGGCUGCAACUGUUUAUUAAAAACACAGCACUGUGCAAACACGAAAGUGGACGUAUACGGUGUGACGCCUGCCCGGUGCCGGAAGGUUAAUUGAUGGGGUCAGCGUAAGCGAAGCUCCUGAUCGAAGCCCCGGUAAACGGCGGCCGUAACUAUAACGGUCCUAAGGUAGCGAAAUUCCUUGUCGGGUAAGUUCCGACCUGCACGAAUGGCGUAAUGAUGGCCAGGCUGUCUCCACCCGAGACUCAGUGAAAUUGAACUCGCUGUGAAGAUGCAGUGUACCCGCGGCAAGACGGAAAGACCCCGUGAACCUUUACUAUAGCUUGACACUGAACAUUGAGCCUUGAUGUGUAGGAUAG